AGAGGCUCAACCAUUUCCAGUCUAUCCUAACUUCAGAAUCUGAGUUUCAGCAAGAAGGAGAUUAUUUAAUAGGCGGACUUUUUGAUAUUCAUCAUGUCAAUAGCUCUGUUCAUCAUUAUAGACCAGAAGCAAUUGACUGCUCCAGAGCACCAUCUCAUGAUCAUCUUUACUUCAUUAAUGUCAUACGGAGGUCAGGUAUGCAAUAAUAUCUUCUAAAAAUACAUUAAAUAUAAUAACUUCAUACAUUUUUCCAAGCUUGACCUGACAAACCUCUAUAGCAACAGUUUUUAAAGCAAUUUUCCAAAAGUUUUUGUAUGCUGGUUUAACCCAAGUACUGCAGUUCUGAGUUAUUUUAUUCUUAAAUUGUGUUCUAGGCUUUGGUAGCAUUUGUUCAUGUAAAUACUGUAUCUUCUUUUAUACUAAAUUAGGAAGAAAGGAAAUGGUUUUCCAUGAGACAAGAGCACGCAUUUGUUUAUAUAUCAGACAUAAGCCUUAUGUGUAAAAUAUGGCAUUUGAAUCCCUUUCCAUGUGUUUCCUCUACACUUA
ensembl:lncRNA